GACGGUACUUGAGGAAUAAGCCACGGCUAAUUCCGUGCCAGCAGCCGCGGUAAUACGGGAGUGGCAAGCGUUAUCCGGAAUUAUUGGGCGUAAAGCGUCCGCAGGCGGCCCUGUAAGUCUGUCGUUAAAGCGUGGAGCUUAACUCCAUUUAAGCGAUGGAAACUACAGGGCUUGAGUGUGGUAGGGGCAGAGGGAAUUCCCGGUGUAGCGGUGAAAUGCGUAGAUAUCGGGAAGAACACCAGUGGCGAAGGCGCUCUGCUGGGCCAUAACUGACGCUCAUGGACGAAAGCCAGGGGAGCGAAAGGGAUUAGAUACCCCUGUAGUCCUGGCCGUAAACGAUGAACACUAGGUGUCGGGGGAAUCGACCCCCUCGGUGUCGUAGCCAACGCGUUAAGUGUUCCGCCUGGGGAGUACGCACGCAAGUGUGAAACUC
rnacentral:rRNA from 1 species